rnacentral:misc_RNA from 1 species
CCGAGUUUACAACUCCCAAACCCCUAUGUGAACGUUACCAAACUGUUGCCUCGGCGGGAUUUCUGCCCCGGGCGCGUCGCAGCCCCGGACCAAGGCGCCCGCCGGAGGACCAAUUUACAAACUCUUUUGUAUAUCCCAUCGCGGAUUCUUUACAUUCUGAGCUUUCUCGGCGCUCCUAGCGAGCGUUUCGAAAAUGAAUCA